AUGGAGUACCUGUGGAGUCGCACGGAGAAGUUGGAAGGGACAGACAACGGAGGGUCCACCAUUUCUUCUUGUGUCGAGCAGCUCAUAGGAGGUAUUAGUGACAUCUUGAGCCUGGAGAAUAUUCUAGAAGCAACAGCGUCUAUUUUGGACGAUGACGAGGACGAGAAUGACCUCGAGGAUGAGUUGGUACUCCAGUGUGGUGGCAGGAAACCCUGCUCUGUGGACGGAGAUGGAGACCAGUGUCAAACUGACUUUCAAACUGAGGAAAAACCUUCAGCAAAUGAUCAGCCUGAGAUCUCAGAAAACACAGAGUCUAUGUCUGAACAAAAAAACACCACUGAUGAUGUGACUGUUAAAGACGACCAGAACCUGAAACCUUCAGAUGACACGAUUGCUGCGCACCAACUCAGCACAACUCAGGAAGAAUAUGAAGGGGUUAGAAACGACAGUGGAGAAGUUAGAAAUGACAGCUCUCCCCAAACACCAUCACUGUGUACAGUCACUGCCCCCACCUUGGACAACACAGAGAAAGGUAAUGAUGACCUUAUCUUAGCAGACAGAGAGGAUGGACCUGCCUCAGAGUUAGUCUUGUUGGACAAGGAAGUCCCAGCAACAUACGUAGAGGUCAGCAGAGUACAGUCAGAGGCAGCAACCCCUGAAACAGUCCUGGAUCAUAUCAGUGAUUUGCCUCAAGAAAACAUCCUCCAUGAUACCGCCAGCCCAGACUCAACUCAGCAAGAGAUGGCUGAUCAGAGCCUGGACUUAAGCAUGUUGCAGCCUGAGUUAGAUGAACUGAGCACAGAAACGUCCCCAUUAGCUGGUGUAGAAGACGUGGAGACGAGUCCAAUGACUUUCAGUACAGACAGCCCCGACACAGAACCUGAGGGCGAAUCUGAGAAGCCUCAGACUGGGGAUUUAGAUGUGUCACCCGAGCCCCAAAUGAUAGAAACUAUUCUGGAUGAAGAUGCCAGCAGCAGUGACUUACAGACAAAUGCGAUGAGCAGCGGUGACUUACAGACAAAUGCGAUGAGCAGCAGUGACUUACAGACAAAUGCGAUGAGCAGCGGUGACUUACAGACAAAUGCGAUGAGCAGCAGUGACUUACAGACAAAUGCGAUGAGCAGCAGUGACUUACAGACAAAUGCGAUGAGCAGCAGUGACUUACAGACAAAUGCGAUGAGCAGCGGUGACUUACAGACAAAUGCGAUGAGCAGCAGUGACUUACAGACAAAUGCGAUGAUCCAGAGUGUGUCUGACUCAGCGCAUACAGAAACUAAUGCCCAACCAGCCCCCAGCUCCCUCCCAGCUAGCCAGCCCCCCACACAGGACCACAGCCAGGACCAGCAUGACAACCCUCCUUCUGUGCCAGAGGGGGGGACAGCUCCCCCAACCCUGGAGUGGGGAGACGGGGAGGCUGGGUCACCUGAGGACAGUAGGGGGGGGACACCAGGCGGGGAGCAGCCAGUCUUCACAGAGUCAGAAUCCCUAACCCCGGAGCCUCCAGCACAGGCGCCCUCCGCAUCACACACCCCAGAGCCUCCAGCACAGGCUCCCUCCGCAUCACACACCCCGGAGCCUCCAGCACAGGCGCCAUCCGCAUCACACACCCCGGAGCCUCCAGCACAGGCGCCCUCCGCAUCACACACCCCGGAGCCUCCAGCACAGGCGCACCCCGCUCAGUCCCAGGACCAGCAGUCGAGUGACCAGCCUCCUGCUCCUCUGCCUCUUGCUCCAGAGCCAGACGCGUUCCCUCCAGCCAGCUUGCAUGACAAGCCUGAGAGCCCCCCCUCAGGUCUCACAGCACCAGACUUUGCCGCCGUGGGCCAGGAAGUGACAUCAAUGGAGCAGACGGGUGAGGAGGCCUCAUCGGCAGAUGAACCCAGCAGAGGUGCACUGCAGGUGAAUAGAGAGGAGGAGCCAAGCCAGCUGCCCAUCGCUAAGCAACAUGACAAACCUGCGCAAGAGGAGGGAAAGAACGACCAAAAGGAAGUGGAGCUGGAGUUCGAGGAGAAAGUAGACGAUGAUGAGAGUGGCGAAGACACACAGCGAGAAAAUGGAGCCCGCAGCUCCCGGUCGCUCGAGGAGACGGCUUCCGCUGACAACCAAGCAGCCCGUAUAAAGUACAACACAGUGUGUUACAGAAAGAUCAAGAGAGGGAACACCAAACAGAGGAUUGAUGAGUUUGAGUGCCUGAUGAAUAUCUAGGUCAGAGGGAGAGGGAGGUGAGAGUGACUUGGUUAGGGAUAGAGCAGGACUUAUUCUUUUCUGUGUGGAACCAUUCGGCAGAACAUUCAUCUUUGGGCACAGCAGUGGUGUACGUGUAAAAUGUCCUUAUUGACGCACAAGCUCAUGAACCCAAACACAAAACAAAUAAUUUACAAUAACACUGAACAUGUUAUCAUUUGCUUUAUUUAUUUACUUUUUCCCCUACCUUUAUAAACUUACCCCAAACUUUAAACCUUCCUUUGUCAUGGCAGAGUGUUUCAGACAUCUUCAGUCAGUUAGAUAUCAGGAUAAAUUGUAUAUCAUGAGAUUAUAUUGCAAUUCACGACACUAGCAAAACCAGUAGUUUAGGUUAUUGAAACUGGUGACAUUACUGUCUAGGGUUGAAAUGAAUGUUGUGUAUGCUCUGAAAUGUAUAUAUUUUAGAUCUAUUUACUAUUUACUGUAAACACCAUUUGGACAUAGUAUGGAACCUACAUUUGACCCCGUAGGCUUUUGUUUUGUUACCUUAUACCGUGUGGCUAUAUUGUUUCAUAUUCACUUUGGUGUUUUGCUACAUUUGAUUUUGGGUGUUUGUACCCAUUUUGACUUUGAAAUGUGUACUAAAGGUACUCACUGAGUGCCACGCAAGAAAUAACAACUGUGAUGCACAUGUUUUGCUUUACAAUAAAAAAUGGUUAAAUCAGAUGUUUCA
ensembl:lncRNA